rnacentral:tRNA from 1 species
GGGUCGUUAGCUCAGUUGGUAGAGCACCGGGCUUUUAACCCGUUGGUCCUCGGUUCGAACCCGAGACGACCCACCA